UACGGAGGGUGCGAGCGUUGUCCGGAAUCAUUGGGCGUAAAGGGCGCGUAGGUGGCGCGGCAAGCGUGCGGUGAAAGCUCGGGGCUCAACCCCGAGUCGGCCGUGCGAACUGCUGGGCUUGAGCACUGUAGAGGCAGGCGGAAUUCCGGGUGUAGCGGUGGAAUGCGUAGAGAUCCGGAAGAACACCGGUGGCGAAGGCGGCCUGCUGGGCAGUAGCUGACACUGAGCGCGACAGCGUGGGGAGCAAACAGG
rnacentral:rRNA from 1 species